GAAAUGGUUAAUGUAGUGGGAUUUCUCCAUCAAUAUUUUUCUUUUUCUUUAUACAGUUGGGGUUGCCUGGAUAAACAUCUUCAAACACAGUAUCGCAAAGCUAGCUUAGGGAUCAAGGGACGUUGGAGGCUCGUUCACACUAUCGAUUGGAUCUUUUGGGUAUAGCUAGUCUCAACAUUUUGAAUAUGACACGUAUAGGGACUUGGUCUUUUUGUUAUAUGUCAUACUGGUCUAACCAAAUGUGUUGGCUUAUAAUGGUAGUUGAAUCAUUUUGUGUAUGGCCAUGAGAUAUGGCUUAUGAUGAUUAUUGAGUUGUAAACCUAUUCAUCUAUGUAUGUAUGUGCCAAUUCCUUUAUGAUAUGGCCUAUGGAUAUUGAUGAUUGAA